GCCCCGCGUGGCGCUGACGGUCGGCUCCAUCCUCGUGCUGCUCAUCAUCGCCAUCUUCAUCUACUUCUGCUUCAAGAAGCGCCUCCUGGCCAAAAAGCGCGAGAACCGCAUACACGGCUGGAUCGUGCCCAACGGAAUGUCCCGGCAGGAUUCGGCCAUGGUGGUGGGCGUGCCCGGCGCCCAAGGUGACCUGAUCACACCGUACCAGCAGGCCACAGGUGUGUACACACUGCCUGCCAGUAACCAUCCGGUGCAAUACAUCGGCGGCUCGCAGUGUCCCCUGCGCGAGUACGGGCCGCUGCAGCCGGCCUAUCCGGGACGCCCCCUGCCGGGCGUCACAGAGGUCAGGUGAUCACGUGACUCAGCCGCCGGCGCGCGGUCACCGAUCACGUGACCGGCGGCGGUGGCGGCGCGCGGGCCACGUCGCCGGAACUGGCUGCCUUUGAGUGCCUUAUCGCGCUGGCGUGGGAGCUAGACAACGCGGUACCUUCAGCUGUUGGAUUGCUGCUCGACGGCUGCUGCACGGCUGUUGGAUUGCUGCUGGACGGCUACUGCACGGCUGUUGGAUUGCUGCUGCACGGCUGAUGGACGGCUGAUGGACGGUGUUAAACAGCUGACGGACGCCGUUAUACGGCUGAAGGUCAGCGUUAUACGGCUCAAGGUCAGCGUUAUACGGCUGACAGACGGCGUUAUACAGCUGAAGGUCAGCGUUAUAUAGCUGACGGACGGCGUUAUACGACUGAUGGGAGGCGUUAUACGAUGUACGGCUGACGAACGGCGUUAUACAGCUGAAGGUCAGCGUUAUACGGCUGAUGGGCGGUGUUAUGUACGGCUGACGGACGGCAUUAUACAGCUGAAGGUCAGCGUUAUACGGCUGAUGGUCGGCGUCAGCAGGCUAAAGGUAGCUUUGGGCGGCAGCUGAACGAUUUUUGGACACUGUUUGAGACUGUUGGACAGCUUUGGGCGGCAGCCGGCCCCACUGGUGGCCCAAUGCCCCCUGUUCGCGGCCUGCCUAGCUGACAUCGGCCAUCAGAAGUUGCUACAAAGCUGCAUGGCUGUCGAGAUCAGCCACCAGGCUGAGGCUGACCAGCGGAGCGCUGUGCUUGCACGUCGCGUGAUAUUACCCCAUGUUAGGGUCGUUGUUGCAGACAUACCUAUAUACAGGUCACAUUUUCACAGGAACUGCCAAAGCGCCGUGGUAGUUUAAGUUUGAAAUAGCGAAGACAUCUGUAAGUAAAUAAAACGCAAGGCUCAUAGUCGUAGCCAGUAGGCAUCAAGUGAGAUAAUGGAUCAGUACCUAUUGCUAACCUCUGUUGUGGACAUCAAUAUCGCAUAUUCGUGAGUGCGGGAAUAUCAGACACUUACAAUGCGUGUCAUUGCUACAUGAUAGCAGACCGUGCAGCAGAACAACGUGGCAGAACAAUGCAAGAACAAUGUGUCCGCCAUACCUUUACCAUCCCGGACACACCGUCCGACAUACAGGUGUGUACAAACCAUUCGUUAGCGCCACUAUGCAUUUUCAGACUGAGGUGGCAAUUAUGACUAUGUCAUGCUAUGUCAAUUAAUAUAUCCGACGAUUCUGUCACCCAUUCAGACACCUGUCCUAGAAUUACCAGCUCUUAACGACAAUGGAUGAUACAACUAGCUUCAUUGUUUAUAGGGAUGUUGAUGUAAAGUGCGUCUAUACCUAAGUAAUGCAUACUGAAUACCUAAUAUCUAGUCCCAGUGCAGUAUCAGCUCUGCAUUCUGCAUGGGAGCAAACGUGUAGUGAACACAAAACUGUGAUGUUAAGUGCUCUUCAAUAUCUAAAUAUAUUCCUAUUUGUUGUUGCUUGCA
rnacentral:lncRNA from 1 species